rnacentral:lncRNA from 1 species
AUGCUGCGGGCCGGCCUCGAGCAGCGUGAGGCCGCUGGGGUCUGUGCCAUAGGGGUGCAGUGGUCCUGCCCCCGUGUGGGUUCUCCAGGGGGGGCUCACACCGGUGGGCAAGGAGCGGGGAGCCCCCAAACCCGUGGGGCAUCAUGCCCCGGUGCCUCUGGGCAGAACUGUGCGUGGUUAAAGACAUCCUUCUCCACCUCCCUUUGCCCAACGGUGAUGGAUGUUGACUCCUCUGCCUCCCUGCAACAGCAGCGUGCUCCAAAGGAAGCUGAAAGAUAUUUCCUUUGUGUUAUUUUUUUUUUUACCUUUUUGGAAGUGCAGCCACCAGCCUGCGGGGCUCGCCACCAGAAGCCGGCGGUGAUGGCAGGAGGGUGCUGCGCUGCCUGGGUUUGCUGUGCUCCAGCCGCCCCGGCCCCCACCCGAGCACCUCCCUACAAAUCUGCUGCGUGCCCCGGGGCAGCUUUCUGCUGGUGGCCGGAUCUGCAGGUCCAGCCCAGAGCUGGCAGCUGCCCCCUGUUCUUAUUUUCCCAAAUGACACUCUCCUGCCCCAUCCGGGAGGCUCUUCAUCCUUCUGCUUGGAAAAAGCAGGAGCGGAGUCCAACGGGGAUGCAGAAGGCUCGGGGGCAGCGUGUGGUCAAUACUGUUUGCUUUGGUUUGAAUAAACACAAGGUUAGAAGCCACGAGCCAUUGCAGGUAGGAGGAGGGAAGGCUGCCCCCGCUCCCCCCAUUUGCAGUUUUCCAUUCCCAUCCCUAUCUCUGCCCCGCUUCAGCUGUCCCUGCAGCAUCUGGUGCGUGUUUACAGGCACUUCGAGAUGCUCUUCGAGCCGUGAGUUUUCCUCCGGGCCUCGUAAAACCCAUCUGCUCGAGCCGCUGGCUGGCUCGGGGGAAUUUCCAGGCCCUGCUCCGGUGCCGGUGCUGACGGCGCGCGGGUUUGGAGGCUGCACCCGUGGGGUUUGCACAGCCCCGGGGCCGGGCUGGGGCUGCAGGCGUGUGCAGGAUGCGGCCGGCGGGGCUGUGCUGGGUGCUGUGCUGCUCCCGGCUGAGAGCCUGGGGGCUUCCAGGGGAUGCCAGUGGGACAGGGCAGGGCGGCUGGGCUUCGCUGGGGAUGCGUUUUCCCACCUUUCACCUAUAAAAGUAUUUUUUUUAUGUGUUAAGGAGGGCACGCGCGUUACCUCCCUAUCAGAAAAUGAAGCUUUAAUGGCCAGAUCUGAAGCCUAG